rnacentral:rRNA from 1 species
UACGGGGGGGCAAGCGUUGUUCGGAAUUACUGGGCGUAAAGGGCUCGUAGGCGGCCAACUAAGUCGGACGUGAAAUCCCCAGGCUCAACCUGGGAACUGCGUCCGAUACUGGAUGGCUUGAAUCCGGGAGAGGGAUGCAGAAUUCCAGGUGUAGCGGUGAAAUGCGUAGAUAUCUGGAGGAAUACCGGUGGCGAAGGCGGCAUCCUGGACCGGCAUUGACGCUGAGGAGCGAAAGCCAGGGAG